UGUAUUGACCCGUUAUGAAUAAGCUUAACACACUAGUGCUUUAAAACGAAUCUUGGAAGUAGUAAUAUGUAAACAAGGAGAAGUAAUAAACAUCAUGUUUAAAUGAACUUGAAUGAAAUGUGAUAAUCCCCAAUUUUAUAAUGAGUAUGGCAGAUAUCAUAGUGUGAUAAACCUAUCUAGGUCAGUGAAAGAAUGUUCAUAAGCGAAAGCUCGUCACACGGAUAAACGAGGUCAAUACGAAACAUGGUAUGGAUGGGGACGAAGAGGACCGACUCGUUGCUGCAUGUUCAAGUACUGCACCAAGGUAGUAAGGUUAGCAAAUUAUUUAAUAUAUGAAGGUACGAUGCUCGAAUCCCUCAAACCUACGCUCUCGUGAAAGUGUGUUCGUUUCUAAACGCCACGCAAGUAAGUGAUUUAAGGAUUUCGAGCUAUGCUUUUAGAUGAAAACGGAAAUGGGUUAUGGAUAAAUUACUAUUAUAACCUGGGUUGGGACGUUAUGGGAUGUUAGGGAAGGUUUCGGGACUGCCCGAGACCAUUUCUGGUUGAAAAAAAAAAGACCCGGGAACAAAAAUUUUUGGUCAAACAGCGUCUGCACACCAGAGAGCCCGUCGGCGACGGCCUUUAUGCCGUCGGCGACGGCACCCCUCCACCUGACGCGCUAACUGUCUGUCUACGGGCAAUGUUUAGCGACGGGACCUUCCCGAGCCCGUCAGCGACGCACCAUGUGCCGUCGGCGACGGGCUAAGGUCCUUAAUUCAGUUCUAGCAUUCAUUAAACACUAAGAACACCCCAGAUUGAUUAUGAAGCUAGGAAAUUCAAGACAACUAUCGUGUUUUAAUGAUGAAUGUGUGGGAAGUUAUGUAUGCGAACGGAUGAAAUAAGUAACACAUCUAGAAUGUUUGUAAAGAAAGAUUGGGUAAGUUUAUAAAAAUUUUACGCUAUCAUUGAGAAAGUACCUCCGUAUGAAUAAGUACGAUAUGUUAAAUGUGUACGAAUGAACGAGAUUGAAUGCGGAAAUGAAUAAAAUAAUGAUGACUAGGGAUUGGUUUUCGCAAAGAAGUUUGAAAUCUUGAUAAGUAUGAAUAAUAUGUCAGGAUGCUAGUUUCAAAUUAUGGACUAUGGGAUCUGUGAUUAGGCAAUUUCUCACAACAUGCUUAUGUAAGUCGUCCAAUGUCACUUGAAUGAAUGAACGAACGAAGAAUAAAACUAGAUGGGUUAUAGAAGAAAUGAAAGAGGUUUCGGGGACGAAACCUUCUUUAAGGGGGAUAGAUUUGUAACACCCCAAAACUCGAAUUAUUAAAUUCGUUAGUAGGUUACCUUGGGUAAUUAGAUGAAGUACAACAACUAAGUUAUUAAACUUAGUUAAAUGUCUAAUAAAUAAGUAAAGGAAUGAAGUUUGUGGCAACUAUGAUGAUGUGUUAGAGUUGAGGGACCUAGAUUGCCAUAAUGUAAACUAAAAUUUUAU
rnacentral:lncRNA from 1 species